GUAGGUGGCAAGCGUUGUCCGGAAUUAUUGGGCGUAAAGCGCGCGCAGGCGGUUCUUUAAGUCUGAUGUGAAAGCCCACGGCUCAACCGUGGAGGGUCAUUGGAAACUGGAGAACUUGAGUACAGAAGAGGAAAGCGGAAUUCCACGUGUAGCGGUGAAAUGCGUAGAGAUGUGGAGGAACACCAGUGGCGAAGGCGGCUUUCUGGUCUGUAACUGACGCUGAGGCGCGAAAGCGUGGGGAGCAAACAGGAUUAGAUACCCUGGUAGUCCACGCCGUAAACGAUGUGUGCUAAGUGUUAGGGGGUUUCCGCCCCCCUUAGUGCUGCAGCUAACGCAUUAAGCACUCCGCCUGGGAGUACGGCCGCAAGGCUG
rnacentral:rRNA from 1 species